rnacentral:lncRNA from 1 species
CAUGAUUGAAUUUUUUGUAAUCCGUGAUCAAAUUUUUUGUAAUCCAUGAUCGAAUUUUUUGUAAUCCAUGAUCGAUUUUUUAGAAAAUUUAUGAUUUUUUUUUUUAAUCCAUGAUCGAACUUUUUGAAAAUUUGUUAAUUUUUUUUUUAAUCCAUGAUCGAAUUUUUUGAAAAUUUGCUGUACUUUUUUUUUUUAUUUCUUUUUAUCCAUGAUCGAAUUUUUUGAAAAAUGAUGAUUUUUCGAAAAGAUAUGAAAAUCGUGAUAAAGUUUUGAUUAUCAUGAUGUAUUAAACAUUUAAACCCAAAUUUUAAUUUUUAUUGUUUGAGUUUGCUGUAAAUUUUUUUUUUUUUCCAUGAUCGAAUUUUUUGAAAAAUGAUGAUUUUCCGAAAAAAUGUGAAAAUCGUGACAAGGUUUUAAUUAUCAUGAGGUAUUAAACCAUAUUUUAAAUUUUUAUUGUUAAAGUUUUUGUUGAAAAAAUUGUAUGUUGAUGGAUUAUUUAUGCAAAAAAAUGCAUGUUAUUAUAUUUUCAAUACAAAACUGUAUUUUUUUUAUCUGUUGUUCAUGGAUUUUUUAGUUGGAAUGACUGAUGUUAGCCGGCUCUUUGAAGAAUUGUUUUUAUUAUUAAUUUUUUAAUACAAAAAAUGUAUGUUCUUGAUAAUUGAAUUGUAGCCAUGUUUGGAGCUUGCAUUUUGUAUUAUUCUAAAUAUUUGUAAUUGAUAUGUACGAAAAUGAAUUGUUUUUAGAUCGAAUCAAUGAAUUGUCAAAUGAAUUCAAUCAAUG